rnacentral:rRNA from 1 species
UGGCGAACGGGUGAGUAACACGUGGGUGAUCUGCCCUGCACUCUGGGAUAAGCCUGGGAAACUGGGUCUAAUACCGGAUAGGACCAUGCUUUAGUGCGUGUGGUGGAAAGUUUUUUCGGUGUAGGAUGAGCCCGCGGCCUAUCAGCUUGUUGGUGGGGUAAUGGCCUACCAAGGCGGCGACGGGUAGCCGGACUGAGAGGUUGGUCGGCCACAUUGGGACUGAGAUACGGCCCAG